GACAGAGGGUGCAAACGUUGUUCGGAAUUACUGGGCGUAAAGCGAGUGUAGGCGGUUUGGUAAGUCGGAUGUGAAAGCCCUGGGCUCAACCCAGGAAGUGCACUCGAAACUGCCAAGCUAGAGUAUCGGAGAGGUUGGUGGAAUUCUCGGUGUAGAGGUGAAAUUCGUAGAUACCGAGAGGAACACCGGUGGCGAAGGCGGCCAACUGGACGAAUACUGACGCUGAGACUCGAAAGCGUGGGGAGCAAACAGG
rnacentral:rRNA from 1 species